AAUUCUGCUGCCAUAUCCUCCCCUUCUGGCUCCUUCCAAUCAGAGCACUGAGGUUCACAUUCUCACCAGAACGUCCCGUAACGCCCUUCAACGUCCAGGUUACCUCCCACAUCAUACAUCGCAUGUGCAUUUAAAUGAGACAUUUUGUCAUGAUGGGUGUUGUCGUAAUAUUCAUGUAUCUUAUUAAGCAUGUGCA